rnacentral:rRNA from 1 species
AGGACGAACGCUGGCGGCGUGCUUAACACAUGCAAGUCGAGCGGAAAGGCCCUUCGGGGUACUCGAGCGGCGAACGGGUGAGUAACACGUGAGUAAUCUGCCCCUAGCUCUGGGAUAGCUCCGGGAAAACCGGGAUUAAUACUGGAUACGACCACCUUAGACAUCUUUUGUGGUGGAAAGAUUUCGGCUAGGGAUGAGCUCGCGGCCUAUCAGCUUGUUGGUGGGUAACGCCUACCAAGGCGACGACGGGUA